AGUUGGAGUCUGAAGGAAACUCUGUCUGACCUAAAAUGGCCUCAGCUGCUGAAGUCUUCCAUGCUCCUCUCCUCCCACACAGAACCAGGUUUAAAGCUGCUCUGAUGUCUUCAGACUCUGUUCUGAUAGUCUCUUCACUGAAGGAUUCACUAACAGCAGGAGAACAUUUGGUCCAGGGAGACAAAGACUGAUGCUUCUCUUCAUCUCUUCUCUGACAGCUUCCUCAGACAAACUGAAGAUGUUUGGAGUUUUAACUACAGUUAGAGGAUUUCCUCUCCACUCUCCACAUGUGGCCACACACCUCUUGGUCUUUUGGUAAGAAGCUUGUUCCCCAGUGAUGAAGUUACCAAGUCUUGUCUGAUCAUCUUGACUUUUUCCCAGCAGCACAAUCCUGGUUCCAGAUGCUGUAAUACAACAGAGAGGAAGAUAAAAUGACUCAAAUACUGUGAGACUGAAAACAUGUUUUACAUAAGGAGAUCAUCUACAGUCAUCUACAGGCUUGACAAAUGUUGAGGUUCAAUUCAUAGUGUCAACAUUCUGUUAUUCCCAACCAAACUAUGUUCAUAUACUGUUUAACAUAACAAAUUACAUUUUAGAGAAGAUGUGAUGGCAACUGAAAUUGUUUUUUGGCAGCAUUCAGAGACAUUACAGGAAAUACUCAAUUUGUACAUUUGUACAUGCAAAGUAGCCAAAUGAAUGUAACAGACACUAAAGAGACUAAAGACUAAAUACUAGAUACUAAUAUGAAAUGAUUUCAGAUUCUUUUUUUUUUUCUUCUUUUUUUUAAAUUGUAUUAUUUUAAGUGGUAAAAGAACUGUGAAACAUGUUUAGGUUGAUGUUUGAGAAAAGAAGACUGACUGACAACAUCACGCAUCUCUGAGAAACAUUUAAAUAUUUUAUCCCAGGUAAUAAAUAUUUUCACCCUUGAACGAAGAUAUUUGUACUAUUUGUGUAAAUUAUAUUGAUUCCUUUCUUUACCUGGAUCAGAGUGAAGGUGACUUAAUUCCCCUUAUUGAAUCCACACAUCCUUUUUAAAACUCAUAUAUUCUGUCUGUGUGGUGGGAGACUAGCAGUCAUCUACAGGUAUUAUUUCAACUGCUCCUCUGUAUCUUUUGGUGACUAAAUAUCUGUUAUUUUAUUUCCCUGUGUUACACUGUCAGCUGUUUAUAUUUGUGACUAACACUGCAAUUACUUUUACAUUUUGUGGCUCAUUGUUUAUAUGUUGCAUGUAAAGCACUUUGUGAAUCUGUUUUUAAGGCGCUAUAUGAAUAUACUUAAACUUAUUA